rnacentral:rRNA from 1 species
GACGAACGCUGGCGGCGUGCUUAACACAUGCAAGUCGAACGGAAAGGCCCUGCUUUUGUGGGGUGCUCGAGUGGCGAACGGGUGCGUAACACGUGAGUAACCUGCCCUUGACUUUGGGGUGACUUCAGGAAACUGGGGCUAAUACCGGAUAGGAGCUCCUGCUCCAUGGUGGGGGUUGGAAAGUGUCGGCGGUUGGGGUUGGACUCGCGGCUUAUCAGCUUGUUGGUGGGGUAGUGGCUUACCAAGGCUUUGACGGGUAGCCGGCCUGGGAGUGUGACAGGCUACAGAGGCACAGGGAUGGGGCCCAUAGGGAUUCGUGAGGCAGCAGUGGGAAACUGAGCAAGAUAUGCGGAGUGGUUAUGGAGGACCGCCGCGUGGGAGAGGGCGGCUUUCGGGUUGGAAAACGCUCUCGCCUGUGACGAAGUGUGAGUGAGGUAAAUGGGUAAAGAAGCACCGCCUAAUUACGU